rnacentral:rRNA from 1 species
UUGCUGGCCUGUAUGAAUGGCUUAACGAGGGCUCCACUGUCUCAAUAAUAAACCGGGUGAAAUUGGAAAAACGGUAAAGAUACCGUAAAGGAAUUCUAAGACGAGAAGACCCCAUUGAGCUUUACUAUUAACUUGUAUUGCCAAAGCAAAUAAAAGGGAACUCUCCCUUGCUUUAUAAUAAAAUUGAGUAGACUAAGUGGGAAAAAAGGGAUGUUAGUCCCCUUUUUAUGGCCGAUUCAUUGGAUUGGGCCCCCAAAAGAUACCUUUUGGGGCCAUUGGCGUAGAGAGGGGGGAUCCGAUUUUCGGAUCGGCGCCGAAGGCGCCCAACCCUACUCGAUUUUUAUGAAAAACCACUCUUUUUAUUAGGAUUACUGGCUAAAACCGUACAAGUAAGGUAGUUUGGUUGGGGCGACCGCCUUCGAAAAAGUAUCGAAGGCGUACAUAAGAUUAAUCCGGGGGGGGUGUCCUUUUUUCACCCCCAAACAAACCGGGGGUAAUGCCCCAAAAAAGAUUAGUUUGACUGAGAGGGCUACAACCCGAACAGGCGCUUUUAGGUUGGGGCCCGGUUUUUACCAAGGGGCCUAAUUGACCAGCGGGCUCCUUUUUAGCCCGGGUCGAACCUAGCGGGUCAUAGUGAUCCGUUGUUAUAUUGUGGGAU